CACAGAGUUAAGAAGACACUUUAAGAAGGUUUGAAGUUGACCUUUACCUGGAGGACGGCCGUAGCUAAUCAACAGCCAAUGUGCAAUGUUGACCUGCGGGGAAAUAAGAGACAACACGGAGAAGGAGGCGGGAUCAAGAUGGCAAAGUAGGAAGAUGCUGAACUUGCCACAUCCCAUGAACACAUCAAAGCUACAACUACAUAUGGAGCGACUCUCUCUGAGAACGACCUGAAGACUAGCAGAACAGAUGUUCUACAACCAAGGAUAUAAAGAAAGAACCACCGGGAGUCUGGUAGGAGGGGAGGAGAAAUCUAGUCAGGACCCACGUUCCUGGUAGGUGACCCAAAAGAAGAAAUAUCACAGCUUGGGGAUCCUCCCUAAGGAACAAGGGGUUUGAGCCCGACAUUGGGUAUCACAGCCCUGGGGUCUGGCAGCAGGAAGAAAAACCCCUUGACUGGUUUGAAAACCGGUGGGACUUACCUGAGAGCCGUAAGAAACCGAGACUCUGAUGUGAAGUAUGUGCAGACUUGCUUGCUCCCAAUCCCAGUACAGAAGCAGAAAAUUGAAAACACCUGGUGCUCUGGUUGCAUGUGAGGACCACCCCAGCAAGCCCCCUACCUGUAUCGGGCACCAGCUCCAACCCCUCAUGCUUUGGCCUCACUCCCUGCCAAAGCAGAGACUGCCAUCACACCACGGAGAAGGUGCAGUUCACUCCGGACUGCAGCUCAAGCCAUUUGACAACCUGGAGUCCUGGUCCCAAACCCAUCUAAGGAGAAUGCCAUCCAGUGGGGAGAAGCUGCAGCACACUCCUAACUAUGGCUUCAGGCCCUCAGUCCCCAGCCGUGUCCCCCAGCCAGGCACUGACCACCAUCAUGCCAGGGAGAAGCAGCAGCUCAAGUGGGGCUUAGGCGCCAUCCUUUAUGAGCCUGGUUCCACGCCCCAUCGAGACAGUAAGCGCCACUGCACCAUGUGAGAAGACACGGCUGCACUGGGUUUUGGCUCCAGCCACCACCAGCACUGACCCCUCCCCCCGCCAAGGCAGCAACUUCCGCUGCACCCAGGAAGAAGCCCUGGCUCACAACAGGCUCCAGCUCUGGCCCGUCAAGCCCCAGCCCUACCCUACACCAAGGCAAUGGCCAUCAGCGCACCCAUGCCCACUUCAUGUCCAGCUCUCUCACCAAGGUCCCUGGACACACGCAGACUGCAUAGGGAUGCUUGCACACAAGGACACGACUUCAAGACCGGAUAGGGGCAGCGAUGCACAGGAAACAGCUUUGCUGCGUGAUUCGCUAGCAGUGUCUCUUCCUUGCUUCCGGGCUCCGCUAAGAGCAGUGUGCUUCUCCUUCUUCUAGUUUCUCAGCCUCAAUAAAGAGCGGUAGCUUUA